CUUGCCAGUAUGGACGCCUUCAUCUGGCUUUCUGCUGAGACAGAGGAGGCUAUAAAGCACGGUUAUCAUCCCCAAGCAACGAGGCUUCGAAUGGUGUGACUCCAAGGACAAGAUGAGGGCCGAGGAGAAGGCUCAUCCCUGAGAGGUGCUGGCUGCCAGGACCGCCCGCCCGAGCUUGAUCCCUGGGACCUAGACGAUGUGAGAAGAGAAGCUGUGGACGUAAUAUUCACCAGCGUCAUCAAAUGCAGAAAGACUGAAGGCUGAGACUGCUAGUGCUGGUCAUUGUUCUCACUGCUGCAGCGGAAUCCAACCAGAAGCAAC